GACGAACGCUGGCGGCGUGCUUAACACAUGCAAGUCGAACGGGCCUGUCUUCUUUUUUGGGGGUGGGUUGAGUGGCGAACGGGUGAGUAUCACGUGAGUAACCUGCCCUUCGGUCCUGGAUAACCGCUUGAAAGGGCGGCUAAUACGGGGUGGUCCGGUUGGUCCGCAUGGGCUGGUCGGGAUAGAUUCACUGUUUUUGGUGUUUCGGCGGGGGAUGGGCUCGCGGCCUAUCAGCUUGUUGGUGGGGUGAUGGCCUACCAAGGCGGUGACGGGUAGCCGGCCGGAGAGGGUGGGCGGCCACAGUGGGACUGAGAUACGGCCCAGACUCCUGCGGGAGGCAGCAGUGGGGGGUAUUGCACAAUGGGCGGAAGCCUGAUGCAGCGACGUCGCGUGAGGGAUGGAGGCCUUCGGGUUGUGAACCUCUGUUUCCGGUGGUGAAGGCCCUGUCCGUGUGGUGGGGUUGACGGUAGCCGGGGAUGAAGCGCCGGCUAACUACGUG
rnacentral:rRNA from 1 species